UAAAGUGUUGGCUCCUCUGACAUCCUGUCACCCUAUUGAUUGCCAGGGUUUGUUUGGCUGAUGUGGCUGGGCUGGUGGGUGUCCUGCUCCUCCCUCACAGUUCUGUGUAUGUGUUUCCUGAAGCUGCACGCUCAACUCAGAGAGGAUGACCUUCCCCCAGGAUGGUUUUUCGGUUAAGGGUAAGUUAGUAGCUGUGCUCUCCUACUAGAACCUCCAAACAAGUUCCUUAGUAUCUUCUAAUGAUGACGGAUCAUUAUGAGAUCAUUAAAUAUAUUUUAUGUAUUUCAGUGCUUUGAUUUAUUAU
rnacentral:snRNA from 1 species